rnacentral:misc_RNA from 1 species
GAUGAAGAACGCAGCGAAAUGCGAUAAGUAAUGUGAAUUGCAGAAUUUAGUGAAUCAUCGAAUCUUUGAACGCAUAUUGCGCCCGCCAGCACUCUGGCGGGCAUGCCUGUUCGAGCGUCAUUUCAACCCUCAGGCCUCGCGUCUGGCGUUGGGGCGCUGCGGCCCUCCCGCAGGCCCCCAAAUUUAGCGGCGGAUUCCCCGCGGCCCUGAGCGCAGUAGAGAGUAAAAACUUUAACGCUCCGGCGGCCGUGGCGCGGUUCUGUCUCUUUCCCAAUAGCGCCAAUAGCGCCACCCCCAAAAAAGUUGACCUCGGAUCAGGUAGGACUACCCGCUGAACUUAAGCAUAUCAAUAAGCGGAGGA